rnacentral:rRNA from 1 species
GAGUGGCGGACGGGUGAGUAAUGCUUGGGAAUCUAGCUUAUGGAGGGGGAUAACUACUGGAAACGGUAGCUAAUACCGCAUAACGUCGCAAGACCAAAGACGGGGACCUUAGGGCCUCUUGCCAUCAGAUGUGCCCAGAUGGGAUUAGCUAGUAGGUGGGGUAACGGCUCACCUAGGCGACGAUCCCUAGCUGGUCUGAGAGGAUGACCAGCCACACUGGAACUGAGACACGGUCCAGACUCC